rnacentral:rRNA from 1 species
CCUACGGGGAGCAGCAGUGAGGAAUAUUGGUCAAUGGCCGGAAGGCUGAACCAGCCAAGCCGCGUGAAGGACGAAGGUGCCAAGCAUUGUAAACUUCUUUUGUCAAGGGACAAAAUCAGGCUCGAGAGCCUGACCGAGGGUACUUGAAGAAAAAGCAUCGGCAAACUCCGUGCCAGCAGCCGCGGUAAUACGGAGGAUGCGAGGGUUAUACGGAUUUAUGGGGUUUAAAGGGUGCGUAGGCGGAUUGUUAAGUCAGCGGUAAAAGCCCGGGGCUAAACCCCGGCGAGCCGUUGAAACUGGGUGUCUUGAGAGGUCGAGAGGUAUGCGGAAUGCGCAGUGUAGCGGUGAAAUGCUUAGAUA